GACAGAGGGUGCAAACGUUGUUCGGAAUUACUGGGCGUAAAGCGCGUGUAGGCGGCUUGGCAAGUCGGGUGUGAAAGCCCUGGGCUCAACCUAGGAAGUGCACUCGAAACUGCUUCGCUUGAAUGUCGGAGAGGCAAGCGGAAUUCCCAGUGUAGCGGUGAAAUGCGUAGAUAUUGGGAAGAACACCGGUGGCGCAAGCGGCUUGCUGGGCUGUAACUGACGCUGAGGAACGAAAGCUAGGGGAGCGAAUGGG
rnacentral:rRNA from 1 species